AUUGAACGCUGGCGGCAGGCCUAACACAUGCAAGUCGAACGAGUGGCGGACGGGUGAGUAAUGUCUGGGAAACUGCCUGAUGGAGGGGGAUAACUACUGGAAACGGUAGCUAAUACCGCAUAACAUCAGGUGUGCCCAGAUGGGUUUAGCGAGGUGGGGGGGUAACGGCUCACAAAGGCGACGAUCCCUAGCUGGUCUGAGAGGAUGACCAGCCACACUUGAACUGAGACACGGUCCAGACUCCUACGGUAGGCAGCAGUGGGGAAUAGUGCACAAGGGGCGCAAGCCUGAUGGAGCCAUGCCGCGUGUAUGAAGAAGGCCUUCGGGUUGUAAAGUACUUUCAGCAGGGAGGCGUUACCCGCAGAAGAAGCACCGGCUAACUCCGUGCCAGCAGCCGCGGUAAUUC
rnacentral:rRNA from 1 species